rnacentral:misc_RNA from 1 species
GUUUAAAGAGGUCUUGCUUACACCUACUCAUCUAGCAAUAGUAAUGGAGUAUGCUGCGGGAGGAGAGCUCUUUGCGAGGAUCUGUAAUGCUGGAAGAUUUAAUGAAGAUGAGGCAAGGUUCUUCUUUCAACAACUGAUAUCUGGGGUUAGCUACUGCCAUUUCAUGCAAAUCUGUCAUAGAGAUCUCAAAUUGGAAAACACGUUACUUGAUGGAAGUGCUGCACCACGUGUCAAAAUAUGUGAUUUUGGAUACUCCAAGUCAUCCGUCUUUCAUUCUCAACCUAAGUCCACUGUGGGGACACCUGCUUAUGUAGCACCAGAGGUCCUAACGAGGAAAGAAUAUGAUGGAAAGCUUGCAGAUGUUUGGUCCUGUGGAGUCACCUUAUAUGUAAUGCUGGUUGGAGCUUAUCCAUUUCAAGAUUCAAGUGAUCCCAAAAACAUUAAGAAGACUAUUUCUAAAAUACUCACCGCUCGCUACUCAAUUCCUGAGCAAAUCCAAAUUUCCCUUGAAUGCCGCCAUCUCAUAACCAGGAUUUUUGUAGCAGACCCUGAAAAGAGAAUAACUAUUCCAGAAAUUAAAAUGCAUCCCUGGUUUUUAAAGAACUUACCAGUGGAACUGAUGGAAGGAGGAAGUUACCAAUGUGUCGAUGUAAA